rnacentral:rRNA from 1 species
AGUGAACGCUGGCGGUAGGCCUAACACACGCAAGUCGAACGGCAGCACAGAGGAGCUUGCUCCUUGGGUGGCGAGUGGCGGACGGGUGAAGAAUACAUCGGAAUCUACUCUGUCAUGGGGGAUAACGUAGGGAAACUUACGCUAAUACCGCAUACGACCUACGGGUGAAAGCAGGGGAUCUUCGGACCUUGCGCGAUUGAAUGAGCCGAUGUCGGAUUAGCUAGUUGGCGGGGUAAAGGCCCACCAAGGCGACGAUCCGUAGCUGGUCUGAGAGGAUGAUCAGCCACACUGGAACUGAGACACGGUCCAGACUCCUACGGGAGGCAGCAGUGGGGAAUAUUGGACAAUGGGCGCAAGCCUGAUCCAGCCAUACCGCGUGGGUGAAGAAGGCCUUCGGGUUGUAAAGCCCUUUUGUUGGGAAAGAAAUCCAGCCGGCUAAUACCUGGUUGGGAUGACGGUACCCAAAGAAUAAGCACCGGCUAACUUCGUGCCAGCAGCCGCGGUAAUACGAAGGGUGCAAGCGUUACUCGGAAUUACUGGGCGUAAAGCGUGCGUAGGUGGUUAUUUAAGUCCGUUGUGAAAGCCCUGGGCUCAACCUGGGAACUGCAGUGGAUACUGGAUGACUAGAAUGUGGUAGAGGGUAGCGGAAUUCCUGGUGUAGCAGUGAAAUGCGUAGAGAUCAGGAGGAACAUCCAUGGCGAAGGCAGCUACCUGGACCAACAUUGACACUGAGGCACGAAAGCGUGGGGAGCAAACAGG